AUUGAACGCUGGCGGCAGGCCUAACACAUGCAAGUCGAGCGAGCGGCGGACGGGUGAGUAAUGGCUGGGAAACUGCCUGACGGAGGGGGAUAACUACUGGAAACGGUAGCUAAUACCGCAUACCCUCAGAUGUGCCCAGAUGGGAUAAGCUAGUCGGUGUGGUAACGGCUCACCUAGGCGACGAUCCCUAGCUGGUCUGAGAGGAUGACCAGCCACACGGGAACUGAGACACGGUCCAGACUCCUACGGGAUGCAGCAGUGGGGAAGAUUACAAAACGGGCGGAGGCCUGAUGCAACCGUGCCGCGUGUGUGAAGAAGGCGUUCGAGUUGUAAAGCACUUGCAGCGGGGAGGCGUUACCCGCAGAAGAAGCACCGGCUAACUCCGUGCCAGCAGCCGCGGUAAUAC
rnacentral:rRNA from 1 species